rnacentral:rRNA from 1 species
ACGGGUUAUAUAACCCCCGCUGUGUCUCGCCGUAGAACGAAGUAGUUAGGUGUGGGAGUAUCGACCCCUCCCGUGCGAGUACGCAAUAAGGCUACCGCUGGGAGUACGCCGCAAGGCGGAACCCCAAGGAAUUGACCGGGGCCCGCACAGCAGUGAGUAUGUGAUAAUUCGAGCAACGCGAGAACCUACCAGGUCUGACAUUGUACGCAUAGCAUAGAGAUAUGUGAAAUCCCUUCGGGGACUAUAGACAGGUGGUGCAUGGUUGUCGUCAGCUCGUGUCGUGAGAUGUUGGGUUAAGUCCCGCAACGAGCGCAACCCUUAUCUUCAGUAGCCAGCGGUCCGGCCGGGCACUCUGGAGAGACUGCCAGGGAUAACCUGGAGGAAGGUGGGGAUGACGUCAAAUCAUCAUGCCCCUUAUGAUCUGGGCUACACACGUGCUACAAUGGCGGAAACAAAGGGAAGCGAACCCGCGAGGGGAAGCGAAUCUCAUAAAAUACCGUCCCAGUUCGGACUGUAGUCUGCAACCCGACUACACGAAGCUGGAAUCGCUAGUAAUCGCGAAUCAGCAUGUCGCGGUGAAUACGUUCCCGGGUCUUGUACACACCGCCCGUCACACCAUGGGAGUUGGUAAUGCCCGAAGUCUGUGAGCUAACGCAAGAGGCAGCAGCCGAAGGCAGGACCGAUGAUUGGGGUGAAGUCGUAACAAGGUAGCCGUAUCGGAAGGUGCGGCUGGAUCACCUCCAGAAAAUCUAGAUUCAUC